UAAAACCUUUGUGCUUUUGAAACUCGCUCUCUCUCCCCGGCAUCUCACCGCUACAUCGGUGCAGCCUUACUAGCCCUUAAACGGGCUUAUGCCAUUCUGCGAAUGACUAAGCAGAGCCCAGAGGGAAGCGGCAGCUUGCUUUGAUGGAGAAACAUAUUCAAGACGUAAUCUGUGAACAUCUGCUCUGUGCCAGGCCCUGGGCUGAGUUGCUGAGGAUUCCAUGGUGAAUAAGAAUGACCGGCUCUGUCCUCGUGCCACUAACAUCCGAGUGAGACAGGAAGGAUGAGACACAUAAGAAUCACACCCGUGCGAGCAGUGUGACUGUUACCAAAGACGGAGCUGGGCUUCGAACCGGUGGAAGGCUUCAAAUCCCAGAAGCGUCCUGUGCUCAUUUCUUUUGGGGAUGCCCCUGCCUCAUCAUUAUCAUUAUUCUGGUGCCUCCUUAGACUAUUGUCACUGAAAAAAAUUCCCAUUGAACCCAGCAGGUCUUAGUAAGGUGAGGGAGCUGUCGCCUAUAAACCUUUGCCCGCGGACCACAGCUCCAUCCCGAAAAAUCCUGGGUGAUGAGUACAAAUACCUAGCAUCUUUAUGUUCUAGAGUUGUUACGCUUUAUUUCCUGAGUUGUUUGGGGGUCUUUGUGGACAGCCUACAAUGUAGUCACUAGGUUCAAAACAAUGUAGCUAAGCCACAUCUCCUUCCUCUCUUGCCGCGGUGUCCUCAGCACAGAGUAACUGUUCAAUAAAUGAGAGCCAUUGUUAACACAGUAAUAAAUACUAUUGUUAUUUUUACUGCUA